GUACGUAGGGCGCAAGCGUUGUCCGGAAUUAUUGGGCGUAAAGAGCUCGUAGGCGGUCUGUCGCGUUCGGUCGUUGAAAACUUGGGGCUUAACCCUGAGCUUGCGGUCGAUAACGGGCAUGACUGGAGUUCGGCAGGGAGACGUAGGAAUUCCUGGUGUAGCGGUGAAAUGCGCAGAUAUCAGGAGGAACACCGGUGGCGAAGGCGGUCUCUGGGCCGAUACUGACGCUGAGGAGCGAAAGCGUGGGGAGCGAACAGG
rnacentral:rRNA from 1 species